GUGCUCGAAGUGCUUUUGCCGAUAACGAAGUGUUUACAUUGACCACUGGAUCCCAGAUUAUGGGGUGUGUAUUACGAUUCAUGUAGUCGUCCACCAUGAUGCAUCAUACCUCCCAGUUCCGUUUCCUGUUUUCGGAUGUACCGGUCGUUUUGUACAGUCUAUUGUGCGGCGAGUGCCAGCCGUGCGUUAUCCGCCUUGGCGCCUGAACACUGCUGGCGCGGAUCCGUCUCGGAGACAGAAGGGCCUAGCCAUACCACUGAGCGCGUCGGCUCGAAAGGUCGUUCACUAGUCACAGAAUUAGGAUUCUUUAUCGUUCUGGGAGCCUGCAAGCUGCGCAGAGAGACGUACUGGCUGCGGCAGCGUGUAGCGAUAUACUGGGAGACCACUGCGACCAGGCCGACGCCCCGACGCUCCCUAACUGCCCUAGUCCCAGAAUAAACUGCGCUGCGGACGAGUUGCUCAGUUGCCACUACAGCACGCGCCACUGCAGCGCCGCAUGAAGCACGAUCCGAGCAGACUCGUCCGGCUCCCGGGGCCUUCCGCCCAUGAGGUAAAUUGUCGACAAUGCGGAAAACUUUUCCCCUAUUUGGAGUUUACCGUAGAACAGGGAAAGAAAUCGUAAUCUCAUUCCUAGCUACUGAUUCGUUUCUCUUUUUUGUUUUCUAUAGCGCGCGCUCGAUACGCGCAUUUACGUAUCUGAUAGACUUGAGAUAUGACGCCACAGAGUCUAUGACGUUUCGAUCUUGCACUGGGAAAAGCUUCGGUGCAUUUCACACUGCAGGCGCACCCGCUCUCGGUGUCACGUUUCAGGGCAGGGUUGCGGUGCGGCUCACGUCGCCGCGUCUGUUUUCUGCAGGCGCAGCACGAGGUACCUGCGGAACCCCAUAAUGGAUAAUUCUGGACCGCUGGUGAGCCCGCAUAACGCAAUACCUCUACCAACUGGCACGGAUCCGAUGGGUAUGCCUAGAACACUGCGAACAGUUGAACUCGUCGUUGCCAUGUGCUCGAGCGAUGCCCCCGGUAUCAGCUUCUUUCCAUGCCUGGAAACGUGAUCGCAAGAGGCGGGCCAUUGAUGCCACGAAAUCGGGGUCUCUGGUGGGACAGGCUGCUGUCGUAUAGCGCAUCGUACCCAGAAAACGCGUAUGGGCAUGGACAUGCCUCUAUGACUGCGUUCCUCAUUGUGUGUGUGUGUGUGUGUACCUGCCUGCCUGCCUGCCUACUUGCGUACUUGCUUGCGUGCCCUACAGACCGUCCAUGCAUACGCUGCUUGGACGCACGAUGGCGCACACACUGGACAACAGUCGCACGUGGAAUCCACUCCCGCCGAGGUCAGUCCAGACGCAAGACGUAUCUGGUCGAGCUGGUAUCGCGCACACCCCGUGUAUAACGUUCGUUGCGCUUGUCCAGCAUGCGUCGACUCUGGACGCGAGCAGUGAAGUUUAUCGUGCGGCGCAAUACGCGUUCACGGAAUUUGCCGUUCGAAGCGUAAGACUUUCCAAGCCGUUUUUACUUGCCGCGCUUCUUUCGUUUAUCCACGAUCUCGGCGAGAUGCGCGGGAACAUGGUACGUACCCGUGAGCAACUCCACAACCUCAUCCGCGAAAGAGCCCUGCAAGGUGACUUCGGUGUCAGGGAUCCCGCCUUUCUUGGCGCUUCCUGCGAUUUCCGACACGGUUGCUGCUGCGGCAAAACGCCGCUGGGCAUCGGCGGCAAACUGCUGGUCGUCAAUACCGUACACGCGCAUGCGCUGAAUACGGGUGAUAUGCUUGCGACCUCCCUGGCGAUCCUCGACGAUAACUUGUAUUGGUUUCACACGUCCGCGUUGCAGUUUGCCAUCACGACCGAUACGGUGCCAGAUCUCCAUGCUUUCCAGCAUUCGAUCGAAAAGUUCACGGAAGGGCAGUUGCCGCGGUGAACCGGUCGGUGCGCAUUGCAGAAACGAGCAGAGAUCCUCAUUCAUCUCGACGAUGUUCCUGGGGCGCUCGAGUCCAUGAGCACGUACGUAGUGUUCAAGCAGCUUGAACAACUGGUCGCUUUGGAAAAACUCAGCGCCCUGGCUGGUGUCAGCGACAGCGUCCAUCACCGAGGGCAUCCCAGCAGCGAGUGCCUCGAGGAAUGCUCUCUGGUGGGGUUUCGCUUUGAACCAUUCCUCGACGUGAAUGACUCGUUCCGUUUCAGCCAGUGACUGCGAUUCCCGUGUUUCCGAUGCGCUAAACGCCGCGCUAUUAUGGGACUCGAACGACUGCAAAAGUUCGUGGUUGCGAUCAACCUCAACAAUGAGGAUGGCACCGCGCUGUUCCUUCGUUUUGAUCAGCUUCCGCUUCACCAUCGCUUUGAGAAAUGCUCCUAGCUUCUUAUAUGAGGUCGCUUUCAGAUCUAGGGCAGUGCCUGCCGGGCGACUUGGCACCACGAACUCAGUGUAAAACUUGCUCGCGUCAAUGGGUAGCGCGAGA